rnacentral:misc_RNA from 1 species
AAGGCAUAUUCCCUCGGGAGCCAAAGAAGAAGGUCAAAGGAAAUCACCACACUUACUAUCAUGUUAAGGAUAUUGCCUACCUUCAACAUGAGCCCCUACUUGAGAAGUUUAGAGAAAUAAGGGCUUACCAGAGGAAGAUAAAGAAAGCUUUGGCAAAGAAGGAUAAUGAUCAGGCAAUUCGUCUCCAAACUCGCCAACCUGCUCCCAGUUAUGAUGAGG